UCCCUGGUGGCUCAGAUGGUAAAGAAUCUGCCUGCAAUGCAGGAGACCCGGGUUUGAUUCCUGGGUCGGGAA
rnacentral:tRNA from 1 species